rnacentral:lncRNA from 10 species
CCAAACUUGACUUUCUUAGUGUCGCGAGGUGGGUCAGAGCGUUACAUUGACAUAAAACAGAUUAACAACAGAAAAACAUACAUCUCUUGAAUAUGUUUUACGUGAAAAAGACACAAAGAAAUGGCAAAACCCAAAUACUUUUGUGCUAGGCAGAACCAAGAGCGGCAGCUGUGGGAGAGUAAAGUGUGCGGGGAGGCUAAUGGAAGAUGGAACUGCUUGAACCACGUCUAGGUAGAAAUCUCCGCCUUGCUCGGCUCUGGUGCCGAGUGUUUCUUUGUUCCUGGUGUAGGGAGGCCAUGUUUUACAGGAGUUUUCUCUUGUUUCAUGAAGAAAAGGGGGCAGUUUAGAGCACUCUUCUGUUUUUCAAGUGCUUUUAGCUUAAAAUAAUCCUUA